UCAUAGCACCCAGCACCAAGGAUCCGCGUUUCACUGAUGGCAAUUAUUACAGCCACAAGGGGUACCAUGCACUGAACGUGCUGGGGAUUUGCGAUGCUAAUCGCAGAAUCCUCCACCUAAAUGCACGCUAUCCGGGGAGCUGUCACGACGCUGCUGUCUGGUCAAUGUGCAGGAUACGGCAGAGGGCUUCAGUCCUGUUCGACGAUGGGGAGUGGCUGCUCGGAGAUCUUGG